UAAUAGAGUUUGAUUUAUUCUUAAUGGUUUAUUUUUAAUAACAGUUAUAUGGUUUUUAUUUAAAUUAAUUAUUUUCCAGUAGUAAGGUUUUAUUUAUAUAUUUAAUUAUAUUAAGGUAUUUAUUUUUUAUGGAUUAAUAUUGUGCCAGCAUUCGCGGUUAUACAAUUUAUAAAAAUAAAUCUGAUUAGUUUUAAUUUUUUAUAUUGAAUUAAAUAUAUUUUUAUUUAGGUGGAAUUUUUAUUUUUAUUAUUAAUUCUUUUUAAUUUUUAUUAAAUUAUUAUUUUUAAAUUAGGAUUAGAUACCCUAUUAUUGAUUAAUUUAGUUUUAAUAGCUUUAACAUUAAUAGUUAUUUUCUAUUAAAUUUGAAUAAUUUGGCGGUAAUUUAUAUUUAGGGGAACCUGUUCUUAAAUUGAUAAACCACGAUAGGUUUUACUUAUAAUUUAUUUGUAUAUCUCUAUAUUAAGGAUUAUUUUUAUAAAAAUUUUUUUUUUCUAUUUAUAUAGAUUUAUAUUAGGUCAAGGUGCAGUUUUUUUUAAGUUAGUGUGGGUUACUUUAAUUUUAAAUAUUUUAGGAUAAUUUUAUUUAAUUUAAUUUAAAAUAGGAUUUAAAAGUAAUUUUGGAUUAUUAUUCAUUUUGAAUUUAUUUCUAAAUUAUGUACAUAUUGCCCGUCACUCUCAUUAUUACUUGGGAUAAGUCGUAACAAAGUAAUUGUACUGGAAAGUGUAAUUAGAAUU
rnacentral:ncRNA from 1 species